AGAGUGCCAGGAGCUUUGUGGAAGAGGCAGGCAGAAGCCGAAUCUUGGGACCAUCCUUUCUCACCUUGCAUGGCCCAACAAGUCUGUGUAGGGCCUUUUCCAGGAAGGCAGAGCCUACCCCUAGCUGACUCUGUGUCCCUUCCUGUGGUUGCCUCACUGGUCCAGUCUCACUAGUCCCUCUGGCUCCCUCUGGCUACUUCCGGCUUCCUCUGGCAACAGACUACUGGGGGAGAUAAGUGAGAAUUGCAACAUGCUCUCUCAUUACCCUCAAGGAACUAGAAAGAUAGAAUCUCUACGGACCCCACAAGACGACUGAUACUACAGACUAGACAAGAGCACCAGAUGAGAAAAUGGAGGUACCAAAAAGUGGGCUCUGAACUGCAGAGCCUGGCUCCAGAGCCCUUGUAUUUGACUACUGGGAUCCACCGUUAUUCUCACAGCCGCGUUUCCCACAGGGCUGCUUUGUAUGGCCUCUUAGAAAAGUCCUGCCUGUCUCCACCAUCCAGACUAUGAUGUCCGUGAGGUCAGAGGAAAGGGAGAAUGUCUCACAUACAGAAAAUGCUUGAUCAACAUUGAUGGAAUCAUAAAUGGUAUUUCCUUGUA
rnacentral:lncRNA from 1 species